rnacentral:rRNA from 1 species
CCUACGGGAGGCAGCAGUGGGGAAUAUUGGGCAAUGGGCGAAAGCCUGACCCAGCGACGCCGCGUGAGGGACGAAGGCCUUCGGGUUGUAAACCUCUUUCAGCAGGGAAGAAGCGAAAGUGACGGUACCUGCAGAAGAAGCACCGGCUAACUACGUGCCAGCAGCCGCGGUAAUACGUAGGGUGCAAGCGUUGUCCGGAAUUAUUGGGCGUAAAGAGCUCGUAGGUGGUUUGCCACGUCGGAUGUGAAAACCUGAGGCUUAACCUCAGGCCUGCAUUCGAUACGGGCAGACUAGAGUGUGGUAGGGGAGACUGGAAUUCCUGGUGUAGCGGUGAAAUGCGCAGAUAUCAGGAGGAACACCGGUGGCGAAGGCGGGUCUCUGGGCCAUAACUGACACUGAGGAGCGAAAGCGUGGGGAGCAAACAGGAUUAGAUACCCUGGUAGUCCACGCCGUAAACGGUGGGCACUAGAUGUGGGGACCUUCCACGGUCUCUGCGUCGCNGCUACGCAUAGUCGCCCGGCCCGGGACGGUACGGCCGCGACGGACGUAAACCGUACGAAGAGUAGUAAGGUCGUGUUGAGUGUUCGACGACGCGACGACGGAGGGAGG